rfam:Schistosoma mansoni strain Puerto Rico chromosome W, complete genome
AUCCACCUGACGCGUCCCAAAUAGAACGAAGUGCGCGUCCUGGAU